rnacentral:rRNA from 1 species
UACGAAGGGGGCUAGCGUUGCUCGGAAUCACUGGGCGUAAGGCGCACGUAGGCGGCUUUCUAAGUCAGGGGUGAAAUCCUGGAGCUCAACUCCAGAACUGCCUUUGAUACUGGAGAGCUUGAGUCCGGAAGAGGUGAGUGGAACUCCGAGUGUAGAGGUGAAAUUCGUAGAUAUUCGCAAGAACACCAGUGGCGAAGGCGGCUCACUGGCCCGGAACUGACGCUGAGGUGCGAAAGCGUGGGGAGCAACAGG